rnacentral:rRNA from 1 species
UACGUAGGUGGCGAGCGUUGUCCGGAAUUACUGGGCGUAAAGGGCGUGUAGGCGGCUUUUCAAGUCAGAUGUGAAAUCUCAGGGCUUAACCCUGAAACUGCAUUUGAAACUGGAGGGCUUGAGGACCGGAGAGGGCAGUGGAAUUCCCAGUGUAGCGGUGAAAUGCGUAGAUAUUGGGAAGAACACCAAUGGCGAAGGCAGCCUGCUGGACGGAGACUGACGCUCAUGCACGAAAGCGUGGGGAUCAAACAGG